GUUAUGGCCAGAGAGCACACGGAAGUCAUGUGACCACAACAAUAGCAGACGGCAGAGGAAAGCAGAAGCGGGCAAGAAAACUUGAUUAACAUGUCAAGGUUUUUACAGAGAACCAUUCAUUACAGGUUAUCACGACGUGUGGUGAGCGGUGUUGAACCAUAGAAGUGAGUGAGCACAAGAAGGAUGACUUCUAGAAGAGGGAGGAGCAGAUGGAUUUCAUUCAGGUGAGAUUGGGGCAGGUUUAUGGCUCUGUGCCACACUGCGCCUGUUAAUAAAAUAAAUCUAGACAGGCUGUCAAUAUGGAAGCAGGAUGGCUCUUGCUAAAAAUUAAAUGAAAUUAAUCUGCUAGAACUGAUCAUACUGUAUAAAUUUAGCUUAAAUUUCCAGCAACAGGCUGCACCAAAAGCUUCUUCAUCAACGGUUUUUAUAAUCCAGGUAAACAUGAGGUUCUACUUGAAUUUGAUUUAACAUGUGAAAAUUAUUAUUAUCUGUAUAUGGAUCCACAGAAUGUCCACAUACUUAAUACUGCUGACACUUUGAGCAUACUAAACAAAUUCUGUUAUAUGUAUGACAUAUUGACCUUUGUGCAUUUUUGCUGCUUCACCUAGGGCAGCAGAAGUGCAAGUCAUCAUUAGAUAACAACCACUGAAUACUUGGGAGGGGACGAGACAGACAGGGAGCCUGUGUGGGAGUAUGACUUUGUAUGAAUGGAAGAUGGAUAUUAAAUAACACUGACGUCAUACUUAAACAGAAGCCAGGGGAGGUGUUUGGGUGGAAGAGCAGUGAGGUUGAAAGCCCUGUGCUCCUGCUAGCUUUAAGGUGGCUCUGCAUGUAGCAUUUUGCAGCUAAAUGAUGGCAGGGUGGCUCUAAAAUUGGGAUCUCAUAUAUUUGAGACUAUCUUGUGUGUUUUGUGACCUAAAAAACUUCAUUUGAGUUUUCAGGUGACCUCCAAGGUGAAGGGUUGGAUCUUAAGAAGAAGAAAAGCCAUGACCUGGAUGACUGAGAAUCUUCACAGACAUCUUACUGACGUUUAAUUUUGGGUUGAAGUAUUCCUAAUAUUACACUUUAUGCUGUUGGACUAAAGUUAAAAUUCUCUUUUUAUCUUGUCAUGCCACAGCCUUCCAACAGGAAAUGAAGCUGAAACCACAACUCACAGGCUUGAGAUGUACUAUUCACUUUUUUUAAUUUAUUUUUUUUAUUUCUUUCUAGUCAGUACAGCACACUCCACCCUAAAAGUUCCUGGUCCAUCAGAAAGUACUGUAUUAGGACGCCCAGGUGACCAAGGGGUUAAACUGCAUACUGUGAACUGUCAUCUUUCUAUCUGAUUAACUGCCAAGAAAUUUUAUUAAUUCAAAUUUCUAUUUAAAGACAUUAAAUAGAAACUAAAUGGAACCUACAGCUCUGGCUCGAUUCCACAUCAAAAACGUGUCCUUUGUCUCUUCUCAGUGCACAUGGCUCACUUGUCAAAGCAGUGAUGUAAAUAAAGCUUAAUUGCAGCAUG